GUGAGGAAUUUUCCGCAAUGGGCGAAAGCCUGACGGAGCAAUGCCGCGUGAAGGAUGAAGGCCUAUGGGUUGUAAACUUCUUUUCUCAGAAAAGAAUUAUGACGGUAUCUGAGGAAUAAGCAUCGGCUAACUCUGUGCCAGCAGCCGCGGUAAGACAGAGGAUGCAAGCGUUAUCCGGAAUGAUUGGGCGUAAAGCGUCUGUAGGUUGUUUAAAAAGUAUUAUGUCAAAGAUUAGGGCUUAAACCUAGAUAGGCAGAAUAAACUUUUAAGCUAGAGUUUGGUAGAGGCAGAGGGAAUGCCCGGUGGAGCGGUGAAAUGCGUAGAUAUCGGGAGGAACACCAAAGGCGAAGGCACUCUGCUGGGCCAAUACUAACACUGAGAGACGAAAGCGAGGGGAGCAAAUGGGAUUAGAAACCCCUGUAGUCC
rnacentral:rRNA from 1 species